UGAGGAUAAGGAUGACUAGGAUCCUAAAAUAUCUUUUAAAAAUAUUUGCUCAUAUUAGCUUAUCUAUUCUAACUAAUGAUUUUCAAAUUUGAAUUGGAAAGAAGUUAAAACUCUUAAGAUUUUAUAUAUAUUCCCCAGUAACACAUAAACAUUAACACAUAAACAUCAGGUUUUGGUUAAUAAAAACUAUCAAAUGGCGAAAAAGAUGAUUUGCAAGUUCAACAUAUGAUGCAACAGGAAGAAAAAGUUCAAGCAUGGAAAUAGAAGAAACCAAAGCCAAAUAUUUCAUGAGCCUCGGAAAUAUGAUCAUUGAAUUAUUUGAAAAACUUCAAUGAUGAACGGUUGCAGUUGGAGGAAUUGAACUUUCGUAGGUCGGUCUUUUCUUUAUAGAUAUGACAGCCAAACAAUGUCAAAUUUUUUUACAUGUACAUAUAAACUAAAACAAAAGGUUUGUUUUUUUAUCCUUCUAAAUCUCUUGCACAUGCUUCUCUUUUAUGUUUUGUUAUUCGCCACUUUCUUUUUGUCAGAUGGAUAAUUUGAUGAGUAUCUCAAAUUAGUAAAACAAUCUAGAGUUGUAUUUA